rnacentral:tRNA from 1 species
GCCGAAGUGGUGGAAUUGGUAGACACGCUGUCUUGAGGGGGCAGUGGGCUACGCCCGUGCCGGUUCGACUCCGGCCUUCGGCACCA